CGCUGGCGGCGUGCCUAAUACAUGCAAGUCGAGCGAACGGACGAGAAGCUUGCUUCUCUGAUGUUAGCGGCGGACGGGUGAGUAACUCGUGGAUAACCUACCUAUAAGACUGGGAUAACUUCGGGAAACCGGAGCUAAUACCGGAUAAUAUUUUGAACCGCAUGGUUCAAAAGUGAAAGACGGUCUUGCUGUCACUUAUAGAUGGAUCCGCGCUGCAUUAGCUAGUUGGUAAGGUAACGGCUUACCAAGGCAACGAUGCAUAGCCGACCUGAGAGGGUGAUCGGCCACACUGGAACUGAGACACGGUCCAGACUCCUACGGGAGGCAGCAGUAGGGAAUCUUCCGCAAUGGGCGAAAGCCUGACGGAGCAACGCCGCGUGAGUGAUGAAGGUCUUCGGAUCGUAAAACUCUGUUAUUAGGGAAGAACAUAUGUGUAAGUAACUGUGCACAUCUUGACGGUACCUAAUCAGAAAGCCACGGCUAACUACGUGCCAGCAGCCGCGGUAAUACGUAGGUGGCAAGCGUUAUCCGGAAUUAUUGGGCGUAAAGCGCGCGUAGGCGGUUUUUUAAGUCUGAUGUGAAAGCCCACGGCUCAACCGUGGAGGGUCAUUGGAAACUGGAAAACUUGAGUGCAGAAGAGGAAAGUGGAAUUCCAUGUGUAGCGGUGAAAUGCGCAGAGAUAUGGAGGAACACCAGUGGCGAAAGCGACUUUCUGGUCUGUAACUGACGCUGAUGUGCGAAAGCGUGGGGAUCAAACAGGAUUAGAUACCC
rnacentral:rRNA from 1 species